ACUUAGAUAGCUUAUGUAGAGCAUGAUAUUGAAGAUAUCAGGGAGAUUUAAAUUUUCAGGUA
rnacentral:tRNA from 1 species